UACAGAGGUCCCAAGCGUUGUUCGGAUUCACUGGGCGUAAAGGGUGCGUAGGCGGUUGGGUAAGUCUGUCGUGAAAUCUCCGAGCCUAACUCGGAAACUGCGUCGGAUACUAUUCAACUCGAGGAAUGGAGGGGAGACUGGAAUUCUCGGUGUAGCAGUGAAAUGCGUAGAUAUCGAGAGGAACACCAGUGGCGAAGGCGAGUCUCUGGACAUUACCUGACGCUGAGGAGCGAAAGCGUGGGGAGCGAACAGG
rnacentral:rRNA from 1 species